UAUAAAUAGUGCACAUUGAAUUGUAUUGUAUCAUCAAUUUUUAAUUUAAAAAUUCAUAUCAAACUAGAAAUUCAUAUCUGCAAGCAUUUGAUCCAUCAUAAACAUAGCAUAUAAAGUAUCUCCAAAUAACAACAAAAUAUCAUAUUUUUAUCACUACAUCCAAAAGGCUAAAGUUCUAAUAACUUAAAUUUGCCUACAAAAUAUCAAACUCCAUAAUUUAAGUUCUACAUUCCAAAGUCAUUAAUAUUAUUCAUCGGCAUUUGUACCAUCAUUUGCAUUGUUUCCACGAGAUCCAUUACCAACGGAAGGAUCAUCUUCAUCUAAAUCCAUCAUGUCCAAAUCUAUAUUUGCAUAAUUAGCAAAUGCGGCCAACAUUUUAUUUUGACGUGCAAGGAUGCAAUUGAUUGUUUGUUGGUCUGCAAUUUUCUGCCUUAAUCGCGCCUCAACCUCUCCACUCAUACCACGAGCAA
rnacentral:lncRNA from 1 species